GAUCCUUCCUCUUGGAGCCCUUCUGUGAGCCCAGGACACAGUAGUAGUGGCCUCUUUACAGCAGCAAGGGAGAUGGAUGCGCUACCCUAUGUACAUCAGCAGUAAACAAGAUGGCAGCGGAGGAGCAAUCUGACAAAAUGACUUUUCUGACAUGGAAGUGCAUAUGGAGUGUGAGGAAACUGUUGCAUCCGGUAACAUCCAUUAACACUUGCUGAAUGUUUAUGGAGACCAAACAGUGAAUGUCAGCCUAGUGAGAUGGUGGGUGAUGAAGCAUUGUGAAACACUGGCACACUUCCACUGGUGCAGAUUUUUACAAGCUGGGCAUGCAGGUUCUUGUUCACUACUGG
ensembl:lncRNA